rnacentral:rRNA from 1 species
AGUGAACGCUGGCGGUAGGCCUAACACAUGCAAGUCGAACGGCAGCACAGUAAGAGCUUGCUCUUACGGGUGGCGAGUGGCGGACGGGUGAGGAAUACAUCGGAAUCUACUUUUUCGUGGGGGAUAACGUAGGGAAACUUACGCUAAUACCGCAUACGACCUACGGGUGAAAGCAGGGGAUCUUCGGACCUUGCGCGAUUGAAUGAGCCGAUGUCGGAUUAGCUAGUUGGCGGGGUAAAGGCCCACCAAGGCGACGAUCCGUAGCUGGUCUGAGAGGAUGGUCAGCCACACUGGAACUGAGACACGGUCCAGACUCCUACGGGAGGCAGCAGUGGGGAAUAUUGGACAAUGGGCGCAAGCCUGAUCCAGCCAUACCGCGUGGGUGAAGAAGGCGUUCGGGUUGUAAAGCCCUUUUGUUGGGAAAGAACAGCAGCAGGUUAAUACCCCGCUGUUCUGACGGUAACCAAAGAAUAAGCACCGGCUAACUUCGUG